rnacentral:rRNA from 1 species
UACGGAGGGUGCAAGCGUUAAUCGGAAUUACUGGGCGUAAAGCGUGCGCAGGCGGUUUGUUAAGUCUGUUGUGAAAUCCCCGAGCUCAACUUGGGAAUUGCAAUGGAUACUGGCAGGCUGGAGUAUGGUAGAGGAAGGUGGAAUUCCCCGGUGUAGCAGUGAAAUGCGUAGAGAUCGGGAGGAACACCAGUGGCGAAGGCGGCCUUCUGGACCAAUACUGACGCUCAUGCACGAAAGCGUGGGGAGCAAACAGG